CCUACGGGUGGCAGCAGUGAGGAAUAUUGGUCAAUGGACGAGAGUCUGAACCAGCCAAGUCGCGUGAAGGAUGACUGCCCUAUGGGUUGUAAACUUCUUUUAUAUGGGAAUAAAAUGUUCCACGUGUGGGAUUUUGUAUGUACCAUAUGAAUAAGGAUCGGCUAACUCCGUGCCAGCAGCCGCGGUAAUACGGAGGAUCCGAGCGUUAUCCGGAUUUAUUGGGUUUAAAGGGAGCGUAGGUGGAUUGUUAAGUCAGUUGUGAAAGUUUGCGGCUCAACCGUAAAAUUGCAGUUGAAACUGGCAGUCUUGAGUGCAGUAGAGGUGGGCGGAAUGCGUGGUGUAGCGGUGAAAUGCUUAGAUAUCACGAAGAACUCCGAUUGCGAAGGCAGUUCACUGGACUGCAACUGACACUGAGGCUCGAAAGUGUGGGUAUCAAACAGGAUUAGAUACCCGUGUAGUC
rnacentral:rRNA from 1 species